rnacentral:lncRNA from 1 species
GCCCCGCCCCGCUUUGUGAACGCGCUUGCCCAGAGCCCCACCCUCUCCAGACUCCAAAGAACAGGGCUGGGAAAAGCCUGCGUCAUCGCGAUCCGAAAGGAUCAUGUAAGAAGGACAGAUGCUAAACUAGUUGUGGAGAGACUGUGCAUGCGCGCUGAUGCCUCGCCUCUAGGUUUUAACAAAAAUGCACCGGGGAGGGCGCUGUGCUGUCGGCCAGAAUUAAGCUCCCGCUCCUGCCAGCACCGCGUGGACUCCUGGUUCCUGCCUCCAGGUUCCUGCCUCAAGAUCCUGCUUUGGUUUUCCAAGGUGUGACCUGCUCUGGUAUCAUGCACUGAAGAGACAGCCCUCAGAACAUUCACUGGAGCCCAGGACACCACUAAGCGGGAGAAGAAAUGGCAGCCUCUGAUCUGCACCCAUGUUUCCUUUAUUAUCCCUAGUCAAAAGGAAAGGGGCACACCCCAGCACCAUUUUCUCCCAUCGUUCAGCUUUGGGAAAAUGGUCCACUUUACCUCUACUUUCCCUCAGUUAACAGGAUCUUAAACUGAGGCUCAGUAGCAAGUGUUUGGCUAACUCGUACAAGGCCCUGGGUUCCAGUCCCAGAACUCUAAAUAAAUAAAUAAGCAUAUAAAUAAAUUCAGUAACAGUAGUGGAGGUAAGGAAUCAAAUAUUUCCAAAAUAACAAGAUAAUUGUUGUUAAUAGUCUUUCAGUACAUUUACUCCUGGCUAGGUAUGGAUCUACAGCCACAAAAUGUAAGAAGCCAUUGGGAAUUUCAAACUACUGAUGACCUAGCAAAUGAACUUCACUCUGAAAAUACCAGUGUUGAUGAUAAUAAUUCACAUAUUCUAAAGCAGUGGCUCUCACCCUCCCUGAGGCUGUAACCCUUUAAUACAAUUCCUCAUGUUUCAUAAACCAUAAAAUUAUUUUCAUUGCUACCUCCUAACUAUAAUUUUGCAACUGUUAUGUUAUAAAUCAUAAUGUAAAUAUCUGUGUUUUCUAAUGGUCUUUUGGGGGGUCACAACCCACAGGUUGAAAAUGGCUAUUCUCAAGGGUCCUGGAACUUGGCAAUGAAAGACGCAUCGGUAUAGAUGGCUCCAUCUCAUCCAAGCUAUAAAAUUAGCAGGAGACAGCUGUAUGACCUUGGAAAAUGGAUGGAACUAGAAGAAACCAUUCUGAGCAAGGUAACCCAAUCACAAAAAGACAAACAUGCUCGCAUCCAGCAGCUGGUGGAAGUAGAAGCAGACACCCACAACAACACUGAACUGAACUGGAAUCCAGUUGCAGAGAAGGACAAGUGAAGAACAAAGGGGUCCAGAUCAGGCUGGUGAAACCCACAGAAACAGCUGACCUGAACAUAGGGGAGCUCUUGGUCCCCAGACUGAUAGCUGGGAUACCAGCAUGGGACUGAUCCAGACCCCAGCAACAUGGGUUUCAGUGAGGAAACCUCCGAAAUCUACGGGACCUCCUG